rnacentral:snoRNA from 1 species
UGAUGGAAGCAACCGACUCUUGUGCGCGAGGGCGCGUGGCCCCGUGAGCGCGCUUGCGUGAUGGCCAAAAAACAAACUCAACAGGUCUGAC